ACUUAUAUCUCUCCCCACCUCUCUCAUCACUUAUAUCUCUCCCCACCUCUCUCAUCACUUAUAUCUCUCCCCAGACAUCUCCUGGAUAAAGUACGAGGGUGAUGGGCAGUUCUACCGUUUUGAUGGUGACUUUUUCCCAAGCUACCCAGAGGAAUUCAUGACGCAUCACGGAAACUACUUCUUCUGCUACAAGCGCCGUGGGAUCGAGGACUUCACAUUCCCUGCACCGGAAGGAGGCAUGACCAAACCAGACACACUCGACAAACCAAAUAAGAAUAGCCCAGGCCCGAGCCUCUUUAGGGGACCCGAUGGACUGAUGAUCAUCGAUGACAUGUUCAGAAUGGAGAAGCCAAACAUGAUCGCCAGUGACCUCGUGCUGGACGCUGGCAUACUGAAGCUCAAGACUCAGGGCAUCGACACCAAGAACCUGGAGUCGGUGAGGUCCCACAGGAAGGCCAUGAAGGACAGGGAUCUGGGUGGUGCCUCGUCCUCUUGCUUCUCGAGAGCUCCCAUGAAGUGUGUGCUUGAUUCUGAUUCUGAUGAGGAAACGGGAAAGUUCGGCGCCAAAGGGAAGGGGUACUACUCAUAUCGGGGCAAAGAGAAGGAGUAAGAAGAGAGGAGAAAAGAAUAGAGGUGGAGAGAGAAGGAGAUGAAUGGUUUGGGGAUGUAAGUGGAGGAGGAAAAGUAGGAAUAGAGGGGAGAAGACUUGAGGUGGAGAGAGAAGGAGAUGAAAGUGGAGGAGAAGUAGGAAUAGAGGGGAAAAAGUAAGAGAGAAGAGAGAACAGAUGAAGGGAUAGAGAUGGAGGAAAAGUGAUAAAUGAUGGCCUUGUAACAGUGAUAGCAGGAGAGGAAGAUGAAGCACAAAUAACAGAAGAAAGAAGAAGAGAGAUAGAAUGUUAGUUUAGAGAGAUGGAGGAGGUAGCGACUGUGAAGAUGAAGAUGAAGUGAGAGAAAUGAUGAUAAAUUGUUGAAUGAAAGAAACAAGCUGAUGUGGCUGUGCAGGAGGAUACAACAUAGGGUGUUUUCUUCCUCUCAAAGGCUGGAAGAGGGUGAGAAAAGAUUUUGCAAUAUAAAGAGGUGAGAAAAGGUUGUGGGAUAUGAAGAGAGUAUGAGUAAGGAUGACUUUAGUAGAGGUAGAGGUCAUAGGAUAAAAAUCCCUUGUAGGGUGAGAGAGAGUUUUGGAAUAUAAAGAGAAUGAGUAAGAAAGACUUUAGUAGAGGAGUAAGAGAAAUUAUCUAAGGUAUUCUUUAUAUAAGCUGACAAAUGAAUGAGACAGUCUGGGUGUGUAGGACAUAUGAUUUUUUGUCCUCUCAAAGCAGAAAUAUAAAGAAUGAGAAAGUAGAGAUGAGAAGGUUUUGGAGUAUAAAGAAUAUAAGGAAGACUUUAGUUGAGGAGUAAGAGAAAUUAUCUAAGGUAUUCUUUAUAUAAGCUGACAAAUGAAUGAAAGACAGUCUGGAUGUGUAGGACAUAUGAUUUUUUGUCCUCUCAAAGCAGAAAUGAAAGUAUGAAUAAGAAUGACUGAAGUGGAUGUAGUUUUUGAAGUGGAUGUAGUUUGUAAGAUUUGCUUGGUGAGGAUACCUAAUAUAAGGUGAUGGAACACUGUGUUGAAUAAUGGGGUAUUUGACUAAAGGAUGGAGUAGCAGUGUAUUAAGUGACUAUUAAAUGGAAUGAUGGAAUGCUGUGUUAUAUGAAGAAGUACCAUGUUUUAUUGAAGAUUAUUUACCAUGUUAGAAGACAGGAAGUUAUAUUUAACACUGGAAUACUCUGUUAAAAGAUGGAGUAGCAUUGUAUUAAGUGACUAUAUUAUGUGAAAAGAGGAAAUGCUAUGUUACAUGAAGGCAUCCUAUAUUAUAUUGAGGAUUAUUUACCAUGUUAGAUGACAGAAAGCUAUAUUAAAAUGCUGGAAUACCCUGUUGGAAUGUUAAGUGACAAUUUGAAGAAGAGGCAUAAGAGACAGCCAUUUUUUCUAGUUUGCAUUGGGAAAGGCACAGGAUACACUUUACAGGAAGAACAAGAAACAUGUAGUGAGGGAAGAGCAACUUUGUAUCUGGUGUCUUCUUUUUCCUUUUCCCAGCUCAAACUAAAAUAAAAUCUCUCUUUCCCUUACGCCCCUUCGGCUUUGGAUGCCUCAUAUAUAUUAUGUCAAAUGCCAAAGUUAUAUGACAUGCUGGAAUGCUGUGUUAAGUGAUAGGUAAAGUUUGGGGCAUAUGCUAUAGCUGCACCUGAAGUCCUUCUACCACUCUAACUCUGGCCCUCUCUUAAUCCUUAGAUGGCGGUGGAACUAUAUGUAGACGGUCCAAAAUUCAGUCAGUCAGUUUUGUGUGCCAGAAAUAUAACACUUCCAGACUGCAGUAGAAUCUGUAUACAGACGUAGUUAAAACACCUCUUAUGUGGCGUAGCUAAAUUUAUGCUACGGUCCUAAGGUUGGCAAUGAGUAUAGUAUAUAGACGAUUCAGUUUUGGGGGAGCUAUUCUUUAAAUACUGUCGCUAUUGAAGGGUUAAAUAGAAAUUGUAGUGGAAAGUAUCUGUCGUAAGUGGAUCUUAGGGUCAGGUUUUGGUGAUUUGAAAUGGGUUGAAAAGAUGCUCCCCUAAAAUUUCAGGCUGCCUUACACUUUCUCUCCUGUACAUGCAAGAUGGUCAACAAAGCCUGACCUCAAGUGUUCGUUUUGGUCUGUCUAUCUAUCUAUCUAUAUCUCCAACGCCUUGCUCCCUUGUGGAAACUUCUCUCUAGGGAGUGGUCGCGGCAGAAUUGUCUCCAUCUCUCCCUGUUUUGGCUCUCCUUCAGCACACUCAAUCCUGCUACUUCCAACUCUCUCACUUCAAUAUUUACUCACCCUAUUGAUCUAUUUCACAGGUGGUCUUCCCCUGACACCACCUCCCUCAAUCAAUCCUUCCCUCAUACACUCUUCACGAAUUCAUUCUCAUUUGGUUUCACUGUAUUAUGUAGGGUUACACAGUGGCUCUGCAACAGUGCUCUGAACUUUAGUGCAAUACAGUUUUACUUCAGGCAUAUGUGCAGCUUUAGCUUAUGCACCCAACUUUACCUUCAUCAGCCUUACUUACUAUUUGCAAACCUCUGCACAGAAGCAAGAGACAUGUGCCUCCUGUUGCCUGUUAUUCAGUAACCUGUUUGGCAAGGAAGCAGCAACCCAAAGGGGAGUCUGCCAUGACCCAUUAGUGGAGCACAACCUGUAUACUUUAAAGGAUCCUACUCUGUGUUCAAAUGAGCCAUGGCAGUAAUAAGGGCACAGCAUAUCCAGCUCUUUAGAAUCAUUAAGGGUUAGUCAGUAGAUGUAUUCUUGGGUAAAUUUAGGAUAAGGUGUGUUCUUGGGUAAAUUUAGCAUAAGGUGAACUUUUGUUAAACAUGGCUGUAUCAAGAGAGGGAGGCACACCCACCCACCACACAUUCUAAACCCUAAAGAUAAAAUUGUACACUUAAUGGGAAGCACCACAGUUGACAUGCAACUAGCCCAAGCCCAUGACUCGGCCUAAGCUCGCCACGGCAACCUCAUACAGCCCAUAGAGUGGCAAGGGUUCUACUGACGGUGAGAUGUAUUAGUGUGGAGGAAAGAUUAUUUUGUACUCCCCAGGUGGAAUCUACAUGUUACUGACCCAAGGAUUUGUUUGCCAGAGUUUGGGGACAAAUAUUAUUCAUUUAAAUAAUUGACAUUUAUUUGUGUAUAAUCUUAAGACGAGAAUUUUUUGUGUAUGUGGCGAGUAAACUGAAAAGUACUCACUGGUAUGUUAAAACCCACUAACUUAGAGCCCUGUUGUAUGUCUUCAGGCUCAUUAAAUGACUCAUUCAUAUCAUAUUUACCUGUCAUGAAGUCAAGUUACAGUGAAACCAUUUUAGUGAGUCCGUUGUGGCGUUGGUUCCCGCGGGUCCUUUCCUCCCCUCUGCUCUGCCACACAAUCCCAACACCUAUCUCUUCCUCUCAUAUGUUAGCUAUAGGUAACAUAUGAGAGGGAAAAAUAAGUGUUGGGACUGUGGCAGAGCAGAGGGGAGGAAAGGACCUCAACGGACUCGCUAAAAUGGUUUCACUAUAGUACUGGUGUUUCUGUCUGACAAACCAGAAAUGUUAAGAAAAUCUAGUGGUUCAUCUGUGUGCCAGGAUGUGGUUGUGAAAUAAUUAGUUCCCCAGACAGAAAACUAUGGCUGCACAUGUGUGUGUUUUGAGUGGAAUGAUGCAUGCUGGCUGUUCUAAAGUCGGCCCAAGAACAAGAUAUAUUUGUACUUACAGUUUGAGAGUAACAUGGCUGGAGAAGUGAGUACAGAGCCACACAGCCAUAAGCAUCCAGACUAACAGUUGUGGUCCUGUUCAGCAACACACAACACACAGAAUGACCUGAUAUGCUACAUUAAGAACUACUACUGCUUGAAGCUUGCAAAAUAAAUGCUGACAGAAA